rnacentral:misc_RNA from 1 species
GCAAACUUGGUCAUUUAGAGGAAGUAAAAGUCGUAACAAGGUCUCCGUUGGUGAACCAGCGGAGGGAUCAUUACAGAGUUUAUUUUUUACUCUUAACCCUUAUGCGAAUUUAUGUUAUGUUGCUUCGGCAGAUGACCCCAGGGCGGGGUUAAAAGCUUAAGUGAAAUAAAUGCUUGGCCAUCUGCCGAAGGUUUUUAAACUCUUCAAUUUUUUAAAUUCUGAAGAAAAUAUUUAAAAGAUCAAAACUUUCAGCAACGGAUCUCUUGGUUCUGGCAUCGAUGAAGAACGCAGC